GUGCCAGCAGCCGCGGUAAUACGGAGGGGGUUAGCGUUGUUCGGAAUUACUGGGCGUAAAGCGUGCGCAGGCGGUUUUGUAAGACAGGCGUGAAAUCCCCGGGCUCAACCUGGGAAUUGCGUUUGAAACUACAAGGCUAGAGUGUAGCAGAGGGGGGUAGAAUUCCACGUGUAGCAGUGAAAUGCGUAGAGAUGUGGAGGAAUACCAAUGGCGAAGGCAGCCCCCUGGGCCUGCACUGACGCUCAUGCACGAAAGCGUGGGGAGCAAACAGGAUUAGAUACCCUGGUAGUCCACGCCCUAA
rnacentral:rRNA from 1 species